rnacentral:lncRNA from 1 species
AUCGAUUUCGUGUUGUUUUCCAGAACAGCCUGCAUCAUAAAGACUAAAAGGCAGUUAUAGAUGUUCUAAAGUCAAAGACGCUUGUUCAGCCCUACAGAAAGCUGACGUUAAGGAUGUACCACGCUGAUACUGAUCUCAGUGCUCAAAACAUGAUGUUUGUUUCCUAUCCCAGGUCCAGGAAAUUGAUGCUUUGAGGACAGAGAAUAGGAAGCUUAAAAACGCGAACUCCAGGCUGCGAUAUAAAACAAAAGAUUGGGCGAUAAGGAGAGAAGAAUAUAAAAAUGAGAUCGAGAGACUUUCUGGCGAGAUCUCCAACUACUUAAAUGUCACCAACUUCUGGGAUGAAGAGUCUGAGCAACUGAACGGCCCAGAUAAGAGAACGCCACGGGACCAGACCAAACAUGCGAGCACUCAGACAGAGGGCGCCUGCGGAGCGGAGGAGAGGUAAGGGCUGGGAAAAAGGUGCUGGAGCAGGGCUGCCGUGGCGCUGUCCUGGCCCUACAAAACUCAGCAGCUUCUUGGUCAUAAGCCCUACAUCUCUUGGGACAUGA